UGGGGCUCCUUCUCUCCUCCAGGGGGCGCUCUCUCCUCUGGGGCAGAGGUUCCAGUGUGAGGGCCAUGAGUCUGCUCUGAUGGACUGUCCCCGCUCCGGCUCAGAGACCUGCUCCUCUGGAGCCGCUGUCAACCUCACCUGCUCAGAGCUCAGGCUGGUGGGAGGGGCCAGUCGCUGUGCUGGGACUGUGGAGGUGAGACACAGAGGAGAGUGGAGACGGAUGGAGCCCAUUGGACCCUGGCUCCUGGAGGACACAGCUGCUGUGUGCAGAGACCUGGACUGUGGCUCUGCUGUUUAUGGAAAAGAGAGA
ensembl:lncRNA